UAGAGGGCGUGGCAGGAACAGAUGUGACAAUUGGGUGACUUUCACUUUUACUUGAGUCAUUUUCUAUUAAGGUAUCUUUCCUUUUACAUAAAUAUGAAAUUUGGGUACUUUUCCCACCAUAGGUUGCAGCAAGUCGCAAAGAAAACAGGAGCUGUCUCCACUAUUGGGUUCCCUUGGAGAGUUCAUCAAUGAGCUUGACGCCUUGAUAAGUUCCUUUCCUGAGGAUGGCUCACCUCUCACAGUUCUGGACCAUUUCCGGAGACCUUCUCCCCUACCUCACCUCGCUCAUCAACUCAUCCUUGACCGCUGGCUACGUCCCUUCCGUCUUCAAGAGAGCGAGAGUUGCACCCCUUCUGAAAAAACCUACACUCGAUCCCUCCGAUGUCAACAACUACAGACCAGUAUCCUUUCUUUCUUUUCUCUCCAAAACUCUUGAACGUGC
rnacentral:lncRNA from 1 species